UGCCAAGAUUUUCAGCUUGCCUGCCCUGUU
rnacentral:piRNA from 1 species